GACACAGCCCUUUCCUUCCCCACCUGGAAGUUUUGGAGGAGCAGAGGAAUUUUACAGCAUUUGUCAGCUUUCCUGAGGGCUCCCAGCCCUGGACACAGCAGUGCCAGGCGCUCCCUGUGAGUGGCCCCAGCACGAACACGUGUCCACGUUCACAUCCCACCCCAGGGCUCUGCAAAGCCUGGCUGCCCAAGCCCCCCAGGCCAUCAGAGCCAUCGAGGCACGGGCUCAGGGGUCCUUGGGCUGCACUGGGAGCUCGGCCACCCCUCCUCUGCCUGCUCCCUGCUGCCCCGGCUGUUUGAGGAUUCAGAUCCUUCACUGCUGAUUCCUGCAGGAUAAAGCUGGCUGGAAUUGCAAUUGGAGCUGCAGCCAUGCAGUAGUUGUUCUUUUUGUCAUGUAUGGGAUGAGACUAUCCAAUUAUCAAGUACUUACCAUAACAACUUCAGCCACACGUGCCUCAGUACAGGUUUCGCAAGAGGGACAAAGUGAUGUUCUAUGGGAGGAAGAUCAUGAGGAAGGUGAGGGCACCUGGCACAGGGGGAGGGAAGGAAAGAUUCAAAUCCAGCUGGGGAGGUGUGAAGUUUGCAGUAGUUCACUUGCUGAGCCUGGCCCAGGGCCUUCAACCUAUAAAUCUCACUGGGACUUUGUGGAUGUUUCACAACUCCUGCAACGCUGACUGGAUUGCUGAUGGAGCAGCAGCAGCUUCUCUUUCUGGCCAGACCUUCCCUCUUUCAAGAACAUUUACAGUCACUGAAGGCAGUA